GAUGAACGCUAGCUACAGGCUUAACACAUGCAAGUCGAGGGGCAGCGGGAUUGAAGCUUGCUUCAAUUGCCGGCGACCGGCGCACGGGUGAGUAACGCGUAUCCAACCUUCCGUACACUCAGGGAUAGCCUUUCGAAAGAAAGAUUAAUACCUGAUGGUAUGAUGAGAUUGCAUGAUAGCAUCAUUAAAGAUUUAUCGGUGUACGAUGGGGAUGCGUUCCAUUAGGUAGUAGGCGGGGUAACGGCCCACCUAGCCUGCGAUGGAUAGGGGUUCUGAGAGGAAGGUCCCCCACAUUGGAACUGAGACACGGUCCAAACUCCUACGGGAGGCAGCAGUGAGGAAUAUUGGUCAAUGGGCGAGAGCCUGAACCAGCCAAGUAGCGUGAAGGAUGAAGGUCCUACGGAUUGUAAACUUCUUUUAUACGGGAAUAAAGUUUCCUACGUGUAGGAUUUUGUAUGUACCGUAUGAAUAAGCAUCGGCUAACUCCGUGCCAGCAGCCG
rnacentral:rRNA from 1 species